rnacentral:rRNA from 1 species
UGGGGAAUCUUGGACAAUGGGCGCAAGCCUGAUCCAGCCAUGCCGCGUGAGUGAAGAAGGCCUUCGGGUUGUAAAGCUCUUUUACCAGGGACGAUAAUGACGGUACCUGGAGAAUAAGCCCCGGCAAACUUCGUGCCAGCAGCCGCGGUAAUACGAAGGGGGCUAGCGUUGUUCGGAAUUACUGGGCGUAAAGCGCACGUAGGCGGAUUGUUAAGUCAGAGGUGAAAUCCCGGAGCUCAACUUUGGAACUGCCUUUGAUACUGGCAAUCUAGAGUCCGGAAGAGGUUAGUGGAAUUCCCAGUGUAGAGGUGAAAUUCGUAGAUAUUCGGAAGAACACCAGUGGCGAAGGCGGCUCACUGGACGUGUAUUGACGCUGAGGUACGAAAGCGUGGGGAGCAAACAGGAUUAGAUACCCCCGUAGUCCCUGAGCGGGCUGGCAAGGCGCAU